UGGUGGAGUGAUUUGUCUGGUUAAUUCCGAUAACGAACGAGACCUUAACCUGCUAAAUAGUCAGGCUGGCUUUGGCUGGUCGCAGACUUCUUAGAGGGACUGUCAGUGUCUAACUGACGGAAGUUUGAGGCAAUAACA
rnacentral:rRNA from 1 species